AUGGUCACCCCCUGCCCUGCCACCUGCUCAUGCUUGGGCCGCACCCGAGCCCACAGGCCGCACACCCUCCUUCUGCCCGGACAUCGUCAUGGCUUGGGCCUUCCCCAUUCGUAUUGUAGCCCUCAGCCUCCCCUGACCCCCACCGGGGUGCAGUCUCUCCCUUCUAACCCCCCGCCCCCCCCCCCACACUGUAUGCAUCUUGAAAACUGCUCGUACAUACAGACGCUGCUUCAGCGCCGGCCAUGUGUAGGGCUCUGUGCCAAGCACUCUUCCUACUUUGUCCUGUCGGGUCCCGUCAGCAGCCGGGGGGUGGGGGGCGCUGUCUCUGCUGCCCCUAUGUCACAGGGCAGGAGACUGAGGCCCAGAGAGGAGCAGGGCCUGGCUCCUGGCACAUGCUCCUGUCACCGAAUGUCCCAGGAUGGCCUGGCCUCCCUGCCCAGUCCCAGGCAGCAUCCCCCCUCCACCCAGCAGAUGGCGCCGGCCCCAGGGGGACGCUGCGGAGGUAGUGGUGGGGUGGCUGCAAGGGGAGCCCACUGCCCGCACCCCCUUCCCUCGCCCCCUUUGCUGCUGUGGAGAAGGGCCGGUUUUAUAGAGGUGCUGAAAUGCCUGGAAUGCCACACAGCUCCCGCCUCCCGGACAGCUGUCUGUCUGCUUGGUCGGGCCCAGAGAGCCGAGCCAGCUGCUGCGCCUGCGUCCUCCACGUUGGGAAUACCCGGCCCACAGCUCUCGGGCGCCCCAGAGCACAGCAGCCCUGCACCUCGGCUCUUUGAGCAGGGCCCAUUGAGGCACCCCUGCCCCUGGCGGGAGGGGGUCUGGGCUUUGACACUUUCCAGCUCGUCCCUCGGGGGCCUCCCUGCCCCCCCCGAACGCCAGGCAGGGCGUCUGCUCUGGGCACAUGUCUAUAUGUGUCUACAACGGAGCUUGCGAUGGCCAUCCUGUGUUGUCCUCAGCUGCGGGCUGAGAAUUAGCAGCCUCUCUGAGCACCUGCCAGGAGAGCCGAGCCGGGGCCUCCCCCCGUGCCCCACGGGGUUGCCGGAAUGCUGA
rnacentral:lncRNA from 1 species